AUGCAGAACUGGGCAGCAGCCUCAUUGAUGGUCAGCUGUGGCAAGAGGACAGCCAGUGCGGCCAUAGAUGCUGCUGUACUUUCGGAUCUCCUCCUCUUUCUGGCUGUCGUUGUCAUCCAUCUCAAAGAUGUGCCCCACACUCCGCGCCAGCUUCUUAUUCAGCUUCAAAAGGGAUGUGAUCUCUCCAGCGUCACCCCUGGGGAAACUCCGGAAGAUCCUCUCCACACUUUCCACCACCAUUCGCACCAUCUCUGGUUCCAGGCGGUCUGGACCACACCCUGCGCCACCUGCGGCCACCCCCCCAGCCCCAGGCCCCUCAGGGAAUCCUCCCCCUGCAGGUGGGGAGAAAGGGGGAGACCCGGCCUCCUCUUCUCCCCCUGCUCCAACAUCAGAUUCUGGAGUGCUCUGGCCUGGCCAGAUCCGGGGAUCCCCUGCCCCAGGUCCUCCAGGAAGUGGCGACAACUUCUCUCCAAGUUCAAGGGGACUCUUGGGGCUAAAGCUUCGAGCACUGCCCGCCUUUUCUCCUGGGCUGCCGUGUCCAUUGCUCAUGCUCCCUUUCCGGGUACCAGCUGUCUCGGAGAUCUUGAAAAGCGGGAUGCUGGAGACGGGCACAGCAGGCACUGGUUGGCUGAAGAGUCCUGGGUUGGUGGCCCAUUCUCUCAGAGCCUUCUGUAGACGUCGGACAUGGAGUGGUUUGGUGGCCAUGCCCACGAGUGCCAUGAUUUCCAGGAACUCCUCCUCGCCCGCCUCACACAGCUGCUGUACAUCAUCCCCUCCCUGCUGGAUGAAGGUCUCGUAGUAAGAGAGGAGGUUGGCGCGCUGCAGGACCCGGUACAGCUGCAGCUCACCCAGCGUCCGAGGCAGUGCCAUGGCUGGGGCACUUGCCCUGAGGAGGAAGGGCAGGAGAGAGGCAGUGAGCACGAGCGCACUGCUGGGCUACCAACCCACACUAACAACUGCCCUCUUUCCUGGCCGGUGCCCUCCGAUCCCCAGGAGCAGGGAAGGCCAGUUGCCUGACCUACAGCUAUCAGAAAAACGCUUACCUCGUUUUUUACUUUGAUCUUUCUGGUCUGGGGCAACACAAUCUUGAGCACUGACACUCAUUAUAACUUCCCUGAAAUGGCUGGACCCACUUCCCUCCCAAUCACAGUCCUUACCUCUUCCCCCUAAAUACUCAGCAGCCUCAACAUUACCUAAUGUAACAUCUCAUAUUAAAGUUAACUUAGACUACUGA
rnacentral:lncRNA from 1 species